rnacentral:rRNA from 1 species
CGCAGCCGCGGUAAUUCCAGCUCCAAUAGCGUAUAUUAAAGUUGUUGCAGUUAAAAAAGCUCGUAGUUGAAUUUCGGGAUCAAAUUGUCGGUCGUGCCUCGGUACGCACUGGUAUUAUUGGUUCCUACCUUCUGAAGAACCGCGAUGUCAUUAAUUUGGUGUCGUGGGGAAUCAGGACUGUUACUUUGAAAAAAAUUAGAGUGUUUAAAGCAGGCUUACGCUUGAAUACAUUAGCAUGGAAUAAUGAAAUAGGACGUUUGAUUCUAUUUUUGUUGGUUUCUAGGAUUGACGUAAUGAUUAAUAGGGAUAGUUGGGGGCAUUAGUAUUCAAUUGUCAGAGGUGAAAUUCUUGGAUUUAUUGAAGACUAACUACUGCGAAAGCAUUUGCCAAGGAUGUUUCCAUUAAUCAAGAACGAAAGUUAGGGGAUCGAAGACGAUCAGAUACCGUCGUAGUCUUAACCAUAAACUAUGCCGACUAGGGAUCGGAUGAUGUUAAUUUUUUUAAUGACUCAUUCGGCGCC